CCAGAUUGACAGUUGAGAGUCAAUCCAUAAAGUCAUUGAAGCUGAAAAGAAUUUGAAGACUUCAAAGAGAUUCGGAGAUCAAGAAUACAAUUCUUGAGUUUUUCUAUCUUUUUAUUCUCUUAUUCUCUUAGUUUUGUUUUUAAUGUUUAAAUUUUAUUUGAUGAUGAUGUGUGACUUGAUGGGAAACUAAUUCAUUAAUCUAAAAUUAUGAUUGAACUCAAUAUGUAAUUUGAAUUAUUUAUCUCUCUUUUACUUAUGUUUGAUGGAUUUAAGUUGUUUAUUUUAUUUUGUUCUUAAUGCUUCUAGUUGACUGGCUACCUAUUAGAUUGAAUUGAAAACCU
rnacentral:lncRNA from 1 species